rnacentral:tRNA from 1 species
GCACUCAUAGCUUAACUGGAUAGAGCGUCGCCCUCCGGAGGCGGAUGCGGGGGUUCGAGUCCCUCUGGGUGUGCCA